rnacentral:rRNA from 1 species
GAAUAUUGGACAAUGGGGGCAACCCUGAUCCAGCCGUGCCGCGUGUGUGGAGAAGGCCUUUUGGUUGUAACACACUUUAAGCAGUGAAGAAGACUCCGUGGUUAAUACCCAUGGACGAUGACAUUAGAUGCAGAAUAGGCACCGGCCAACUCUGUGCCGGCCGCCGCGGUAAAACAGAGGGUGCAAGCGUUAAGCGGAAUUAUUGGGCGUAAAGCGAGCGUAGGUGGCUUGAUAAGUCAGAUGUGAAAUCCCCGGGCUUAACCUGGGAACUGCAUCUGAUACUGUUAGGCUAGAAUAGGUGAGAGGAAGGUAGAAUUCCAGGUGUAGCGGUGAAAUGCGUAGAGAUCUGGAGGAAUACCGAUGGCGAAGGCAGCCUUCUGGCAUCAUAUUGACACUGAGGUUCGAAAGCGUGGGUAGCAAAC